rnacentral:rRNA from 1 species
UAGGGAAUCUUCGGCAAUGGGGGGAACCCUGACCGAGCAACGCCGCGUGAGUGAAGAAGGUUUUCGGAUCGUAAAGCUCUGUUGUUAAGGAAGAACGAGUGUGAGAAUGGAAAGUUCAUACUGUGACGGUACUUAACCAGAAAGGGACGGCUAACUACGUGCCAGCAGCCGCGGUAAUACGUAGGUCCCGAGCGUUGUCCGGAUUUAUUGGGCGUAAAGCGAGCGCAGGCGGUUAGAUAAGUCUGAAGUUAAAGGCAGUGGCUCAACAAUUGUAGGCUUUGGAAACUGUUUAACUUGAGUGCAGAAGGGGAGAGUGGAAUUCCAUGUGUAGCGGUGAAAUGCGUAGAUAUAUGGAGGAACACCGGUGGCGAAAGCGGCUCUCUGGUCUGUAACUGACGCUGAGGCUCGAAAGCGUGGGGAGCGAACAGG